AACGCUAGCUACAGGCUUAACACAUGCAAGUCGAGGGGCAGCAUGAUUGAAGCUUGCUUCAAUUGAUGGCGACCGGCGCACGGGUGAGUAACGCGUAUCCAACCUGCCCUUUACUUCGGGAUAGCCUUUCGAAAGAAAGAUUAAUACCGGAUGGUUUCUCUGUUCCGCAUGGGAUGGUGAAUAAAGAUUUAUCGGUAAAGGAUGGGGAUGCGUUCCAUUAGAUAGUAGGCGGGGUAACGGCCCACCUAGUCGACGAUGGAUAGGGGUUCUGAGAGGAAGGUCCCCCACAUUGGAACUGAGACACGGUCCAAACUCCUACGGGAGGCAGCAGUGAGGAAUAUUGGUCAAUGGACGAGAGUCUGAACCAGCCAAGUAGCGUGAAGGAUGACUGCCCUAUGGGUUGUAAACUUCUUUUAUAUGGGAAUAAAAAAGGCCACGAGUGACCUAUUGUAUGUACCUUAUGAAUAAGCAUCGGCUAAUUCCGUGCCAGCAGCCGCGGUAAUACGGAAGAUGCGAGCGUUAUCCGGAUUUAUUGGGUUUAAAGGGUGCGUAGGCCGUGUUUUAAGUCAGCGGUGAAAAGUUGCAGCUCAACUGUAACCGUGCCGUUGAUACUGAGACACUUGAGUGCAGACAAGGCAGGCGGAACUCGUAGUGUAGCGGUGAAAUGCUUAGAUAUCACGAAGAACUCCGAUUG
rnacentral:rRNA from 1 species